GAUGAACGCUGACAGAAUGCUUAACACAUGCAAGUCAACUUGAAUUUGGGUUUUUAACUUAGGUUUGGGUGGCGGACGGGUGAGUAACGCGUAAAGAACUUGCCUCACAGCUAGGGACAACAUUUGGAAACGAAUGCUAAUACCUAAUAUUAUGAUAAUAGGGUAUCCUAUAAUUAUGAAAGCUAUAAGCGCUGUGAGAGAGCUUUGCGUCCCAUUAGCUAGUUGGAGAGGUAACGGCUCACCAAGGCGAUGAUGGGUAGCCGGCCUGAGAGGGUGAUCGGCCACAAGGGGACUGAGACACGGCCCUUACGCCUACGGGAGGCAGCAGUGGGGAAUAUUGGGCAAUGGACCGAGAGUCUGAUCCAGCAAUUCUGUGUGCACGAUGAAGUUUUUCGGAAUGUAAAGUGCUUUCAGUUGGGAAGAAACAAAUGACGGUACCAACAGAAGAAGUGACGGCUAAAUACGUG
rnacentral:rRNA from 1 species